GCUCUCCCUGUGCUUGCAUGGGUUUCCUCUGGGUACUCAGGAUUCCUUCCACACUCCAAAGACAUGCUGCAAGGUCAAUUGACUUCUGUCUAAAUUAGCCCGUGUAUGGAUGUUAGAGAGGGACCU